GAUGAAGAACGUAGCGAAAUGCGAUACGUAAUGUGAAUUGCAGAAUUCAGUGAAUCAUCGAGUCUUUGAACGCACAUUGCGCCCCCUGGUAUUCCGGGGGGCAUGCCUGUCCGAGCGUCAUUGCUGCCCUCAAGCACGGCUUGUGUGUUGGGCCUCCGGCCUCCUCCCGGGGGACGGGCCCGAAAGGCAGCGGCGGCACCGCGUCCGGUCCUCGAGCGUAUGGGGCUUCGUCACCCGCUCUUGUAGGCCCGGCCGGCGCUUGCCGACACAUCAAUCUUUUUUCCAGGUUGACCUCGGAUCAGGUAGGGAUACCCGCUGAACUUAAGCAUAUCAAUAAGCGGAGGA
rnacentral:misc_RNA from 1 species